AUUGAACGCUGGCGGCAGGCCUAACACAUGCAAGUCGAGCGGAGCGGCGGACGGGUGAGUAAUGCCUAGGAAUCUGCCUGGUCGUGGGGGAUAACGUCCGGAAACGGGCGCUAAUACCGCAUACUAUCAGAUGAGCCUAGGUCGGAUUAGCUAGUUGGUGGGGUAAAGGCCUACCAAGGCGACGAUCCGUAACUGGUCUGAGAGGGUGAUCAGUCACAUGGGAACUGGAACACGGUCCAGAUUCCUACGGGAGGAAGCAGUGGGGAAUAUUGGACAGUGGGCGAAAGCCUGAUACAGCCAUGCGGCGUGUGUGAAGAAGGUGUUCGGAUUGUAAAGCACUUUAGGUUGAGAGGCGUUACCAACAGAAUAAGCACCGGCUAACUUCGUGCCAGCAGCCGCGGUAAUAC
rnacentral:rRNA from 1 species